GCCGCCAUAAAGGGCGAAAAGCCGCAUCAAACUACCGAUACUUACCAGUUCUAGAGCCUCGUCCCCUGCCUUUCACGCAGGAGAUCGCCGGUUCGAGUCCGGCUGGGGGUA
rnacentral:tRNA from 1 species